rnacentral:rRNA from 1 species
ACGAACGCUGGCGGCGUGCUUAAUACAUGCAAGUCGCACGAGAAAGUCUUCGGACGAGUAGAGUGGCGCACGGGAGAGUAAUACAUAGGAACGUACCAUCGAGUGGGGAAUAACGACUGGAAACGGUCGCUAAUACCGCAUGGUGUCGAGAGACUAAAGAGGGCCUCUAUUUAUAAGCUCUCGCUUGAUGAGCGGCCUAUGUCCCAUUAGCUAGUUGGCGGGGUAAAAGCCCACCAAGGCGACGAUGGGUAGCUGGUCUGAGAGGAUGAUCAGCCUCACUGGGACUGAGACACGGCCCAGACUCCUACGGGAGGCAGCAGUAGGGAAUUUUGCACAAUGGGCGCAAGCCUGAUGCAGCAACGCCGCGUGAGUGAAGAAGGCCCUUGGGUUGUAAAGCUCUUUCGGCCGGGAAGAAGAGUCACUCUGCGAACAGUUGGGUGAUUUGACGGUACCGGAAGAAGAAGCACCUGCUAACUACGU